GAGGGUAUAGCUCAAGUGGUAGAGGGCAUGCUUAGCAUGCACAGGGUCCUGGGUUCAAUCCCCAGUACCUCCU
rnacentral:tRNA from 1 species